rnacentral:snoRNA from 1 species
AUCCCAUAAUGAGGACAUUCUGAAAUAUAAUCUUGAAAAUGUUCCCAUGACUCAAGGAAUGAUUGAUCAUGUUGUUGCUAAAAGCUUGAGAUUCUCCAACGUAGAGC